GAGGCGGAAAUCCGAAAAGCCUUUAAUGAGUAGGAA
rfam:Pedobacter sp. AJM contig06, whole genome shotgun sequence.